rnacentral:rRNA from 1 species
UACGUAGGGUGCAAGCGUUGUCCGGAAUUAUUGGGCGUAAAGAGCUCGUAGGCGGUUUGUCGCGUCUGCUGUGAAAACCCGAGGCUCAACCUCGGGCCUGCAGUGGGUACGGGCAGACUAGAGUGCGGUAGGGGAGAUUGGAAUUCCUGGUGUAGCGGUGGAAUGCGCAGAUAUCAGGAGGACACCAAUGGCGAAGGCAGAUCUCUGGGCCGUAACUGACGCUGAGGAGCGAAAGCAUGGGGAGCGAUCGG